GACGAACGCUGGCGGCGUGCCUAAUACAUGCAAGUCGAACGGAAAGGUUCUGCUUUUGCUGGGUGCACGAGUGGCGAACGGGUGAGUAACACGUGAGAAACCUGAGCUAGCCUGCGGGAUAACGUCAGGAAACUGGGGCAAAUACUGGAUAGGAGCUCAUGCUGUUAGGUGUGGGUUGGAAAGUUUCGGCGAUUGGGGAUGGAAUCGCGGCCUAUUAGCUUGUCGGUGGGGUAGUGGCUAACCAAGGUAACGACGGGUAGCCGGCCUGAGAGGGUGACCGGCCACAUUGGGACUGGGAUGCGACCCAGACUCCUACGGGAGGCAGCAGUGAAAAUUAGUGCACGAUAGGCGGAGGCCUGAUGCAGCAACGCCGCGUGCGGGAUGACGGCCGUCGGGUUGUAAACCGCUUUCGCGUGUAAAGAUGCGUGAGUGACGGUAAUGUGUAAGGAAGCGCCGGCUAACUACGUG
rnacentral:rRNA from 1 species